GGAAGAGUUGCAUGUAGGAGUGGUUGGGCUUGCUACAUCCAGGGGGUUGGGGUGUGUGCGUGCAUGCCUGCCUGCUUGCCUGCGUGCCUGCGUGCGUGAGUACGUGCGCGUGUAGACGGGGUGUGUGUGUAUGUUGGGGGGGGGGGGGGAUCAAACCAAUCAUUCUCAUAUACAAGCACCAAAAUCAGGACCAGCAUGCGUGUAUAUGAUUUGCCUUGACACGAGGAGACUUUGUGCGCAUAUGUUGAUGUUUACGGAAAGGCCGGCGCGCUCACGGACAGGUACGAGUAUUACGGUCAAGACCAUUUCGACGCCGAUCUCCUUUUUGAUUGCCAUGCAUGUUCAUUUCCAGAGUGGCGGCCACGCGAGCUAUAUAGCCUGUUGCGCCACUAAACACAGGUGCGGAUAGGGACUUUGGCAGAACAUAUUCAGUCCUAAUAAAGGCCGUUUUAGAUGAGGGGGCUUGGGGGGGUGAUUCGGACUUGUUGUUCAAGUCAUGCAGGGACAACAAUGCACUUGGAUGUGGUUCGGCUUUGAUUCAGGAGGGAAAACAUGGAAAUCGUUGCACAAAGUACAAGCCGUCAAGCACACCAUGUCUCGCUUGCACUCCUCACGCAAACAACACGCCGCCUGCUGAAGCUCACACUUUUAUUUGACAUUAGCAUUACUAUUAUUUUAUUAUUAUUAUUAUUAUUAUUAUUAUUAUUAUUAUUAUUAUUAUUAUUAUUAUUAUUAUUAUUAUUAUUAUUAUUAUUAUUAUUAUUAUUAUUAAUGAAUUAUUUUUAUACUACUCUUAUUAUUUAUUAUAUUGGGAAACUGAGUAGCAGUCGAGGUAACAGCUAAAAAGUUUUUCAUUGUCUGAAGAAAAAAAACCGUUUAUAAUUACUCUUAUUAUUGCUGUUGCCGUUGUUGCGAUUUGCAGGUACCCGCGCAUGCACAGAGCGCUGUGGCAAGAGGAGAAAGAUUUGAAAUGGGCUAACGAAUGCGUCAUCGAAAUGUGUUUCUUGUGUGCAACAAUGUGCUCGCUGUGUGCACUUUGUCUGCUUUUUGAACAAAAUCCCGAUUUCGACAUUUGGCUCUAAAAGUAAAUAAGUCCCAGCUGAUGCAUCUGCGAUCUUGUUUUGUUUUAUUUAUUUGAUUUGUAUUUUUUUUGCAGCAGGACGUGGACAUUAAACAGCGGGGGGGUGAUUGUUUUCUUGCUCGCUUUAUUUUAAAUAAAUUAACGAGUGGUUUGAAAAAAAUGCGUUUGUUUGUUCUUUCCUGAGUCGCUGUAAACUUUUCAUUGUACUGUUGAGGGCAGUCUUCCACUUUUUUAUAGACUAACAGAUACAAUCACACGGUGGAAUUAAUAUAAUGGCCCGUUGUUUAUGAUUAUUGGACACUUCCUAAAUCCUGCAGCAGA